GACGAACGCUGGCGGCGUGCUUAACACAUGCAAGUCGAACGGGAAGGCCCUGCUUUGGUGCGGUGGUCGAAUGGCGAACGGGGGAGUAACACGUCUGUAACCUGCACCUGACUGUGGGAUAACUUCAGGAAACUGGGGCUAAUUCCGGAUAGGAGCUCCUGCUGCAUGGUGGGGGUGGGAAAGUUUCGGCGGUUGGGGAUGGACUCGCCGCUUAUUAGCUCGUUGGAGGGGUGGUGGCUUACCAAGGCUUUGAACGGUAGCAGGGCUGAGAGGGUGACCCGCCACGUUGGGACUGGGAUGCGGCCCAGCCUACUACGGGAGGCAGGGGUGGGGAAUGGUGCACAAGGGGCGGGAGCCUGAUGCAGCAACGCCGCGUGCGGGAUGACGUCCUGCGGGUUGGAUACCACUUUCGCCUGUGACGAGGAGUGAGUGACGGUAAUAGGUAAAGAAGCACCGGCUAACUACGUG
rnacentral:rRNA from 1 species